rnacentral:lncRNA from 1 species
AAAAAAAGGCAGGAUGAGACACUUGCAAAAAAAAAAAGUCAGGACUACAAUUUAGGUAAUAAAAAGUCAGGAUAAACUAAAAAAAAAAAAAAAAAAACAGGACCGAACAGAGUGAAAAAUAAAAAGGCAGGACAGAGAUUACAGCUAAAAAAAAUGCAGGACAACAUUUUUCAUCCUAGCCCCCCCCAUAAAAAUCAAAUGGUAGCUCCCUAA